rnacentral:lncRNA from 1 species
UGCAUAGGAGGCAUCAGAUUAUAUAAGGUUCCCAGACUGGAGUCAUGGGAUGUAUUACCAGACAUAGGUAACAACCUAUCACUGCGAGAUAACAAACACAAUAGAAAUACUACUACUAUUAUAAACAUUAGCUGAACUAGAGAGCAAAAGUUCCGAAACCCUAGUACUAUUUCUAACAAGCCUUCGUUGGUAAGUGCCUUGUUAGUCCUGAUGGAAAAGUGAGUUGACAAAAGGUGGUGGUUGUCCAAAAAUCCGGCAUUUUUCCUUUAGCUGCAUGGCUCCGUAUGAGGCUAAUCUAUUUGCUACAGUGUUUUGCUCUUUGUAGAUAUGGUGUAGGUGCGAAGUAUUCAGCUGAUGAAGCAAUAACCUACAGUCACUAAUGAUGUUAGUAUAUUUAUAACAGGGGAAGUAAACAUACCUAGUAUUGCAUGAGU